rnacentral:tRNA from 1 species
CCAUCGGUAGCAGAGCGGUUAGUGCAGUCUGUCGGAAACAGAAAAACGCGGGUUCAAUUCCCGUCCGUUGCC